AGAAAUAAAUGAUAAAAAAAGAAAUAAAUGAGAUAGCAUCUAUUGGAGGUAUGAAACUGAAUGAGUGUGUGAAAAUAUUCUCCCUGCCCUCCUCUUUUUUUCAUUCUCUAGACCACAAGGCAAUAGCAUAUAACAGAAGGAAAGGCUUCAAGCUAAUGACACCCUUUAAUAAAGGUCUGGUCACUUGGGGUAUACCGUGGAUUUAUCAUCAAGAAGGUAAACUAAAACUCCCCACUCUUCUGAAAAGCCCAGUAAAGAGCAUGAAUGAACUUAGGGCACGCCUCUUCAAAAAGCAGCUCAUCGUUCCCUUUCUGCAGAGCCAAGAGAAGCCAAGAGCAGAAUCCUGGCAUGAAACUUUAAUGUCAACACAUAUAAGAAAAAGUUUGCUGAGCUAGAAGCGGUGGCUGAAGCCUAUAAUCCCAGCACUUUGGGAAGCUGAGGUGAGCAGAUCACUUGAGUCCAGGAGUUUGAGACCAGCCUGGGCAACACAGCGACACUCUAUCUCUACAAAAAAUACAAAAAGUAUUUGGGCAUGGUGGUGCAUGCCUGCAGUCCCAGCUACUUGGGAGGCUGAGGUGGGACGAUUGCUCGAGCCUGGGAGGCAGAGGUUGCAGUGAGCCAAGAUGAUGUCACUGCACUCCAGCCUGGGUGACAGAGCAAUACCCUAUCUCAAAAAAAAAAGUUUGCCAACCCUAGGAUAAGGUGGCGAGAUUUGGGGGGUUAUGUGUUCCAGCAGCUAGAGUUAUUUAACAUAACUAACAAACCUAGUAAAAGUCAAAUGGCAUUACUGCAAGCUGCAUACAGAACUUGUUUGCUGAACAGAGAAAAAUGGUGACAGAAUUCAGUGGGCACAAGGAUCUCUAUGAACAGUCUUGCUGGUCUCUGAAAAAUCUGUGCUGUUUGGUGCCAAGUCACACUAUACACAAGUAUCAGUCAGGCAGAGCCCACUUAUGUAUAGACCAAGCAACAGAUAAAGUAGAGUGACCAAUCUGGUUUACCUAGGAUGGAGGAAGGGGUUGGAGGUGAGCAUCAGGGAGUGCUCAUAGAUUCAGGACUUUCAGUUUUGAAACAGGGAGAGUCCUGGACAAACCAUCACAAAUUGAUCAUACUAACAGAAAGCGUGGUGGGCCAAACGUAAAGUAGAGUUUUCUAGGUUAGGAGCGGUGGCUCAUGCCUGUAAUCCUAACACUUUGGGAGGCCGAGGCAGGAGGACUGCUUGAGCUCAGGAGUUCAGGACCAGCCUGGGCAACACAGUGAGACCUUGUCUCUACUAAAAAUAGAGUUAGUUGGGCAUGGUGACACAUGCCUGUAGUUCCAGCUACUUGGGAGGCUGAGGCAGGAGGGUCCUUUGAGCCCAGGAGUUUGGGGCUGCAGUGAACCAUGAUCACAUCACUGCACUCCAGACUAGGCCACACAGCAAGACACUUAUCCAAAAAAAAAAAAAAAAAAAAAAGCAUUUUCUAGUAAAGAACAUUUAAAAUUUAUGUGUUUGUGUGGGGGGACACAUUAUAAAUCAAUUGGCCCACUAAAAUAAUGGACUAGUAGUUAAAAAUACACUGUUUAAAAGGAUGUUAAUCAUGAUGUCUCAUAUGAAAAUCAAAAGACUCAAGUUGACAAGUAAAACAUUUAACACCCAAUUAAACCCAACAUCAGCAAUGUUUAAUUUCAGCAAAAC
rnacentral:lncRNA from 1 species